rnacentral:rRNA from 1 species
AAAAAUGUGAAAAAUAAAAAAAAUGUAAAAAAAUAAACAAAACACAAAUAAAAUAUAUGUAAAAAAU